GGGGAUUUAGCUCAGUGGCAUAAGCACCUGCCUGGCAAGCAGGCGGUCGUGACUUCGAUCCCUG
rnacentral:tRNA from 1 species